UACGUAGGGUGCAAGCGUUAAUCGGAAUUACUGGGCGUAAAGCGUGCGCUAGGCGGUUUUGUAAGACCGAUGUGAAAUCCCGGGCUUAACCUGGGAACUGCAUUGGUGACUGGCAAGGCUUGAGUGUGUCAGAAGGGAGGUGGAAUUCCGCGUGUAAGCAGUGAAAUGCGUAGAUAUGCGGAGGAACACCGAUGGCGAAGGCAGCCUCCUGGGAUAACACUGACGCUCAUGCACGAAAGCGUGGGGAGCAAACAGG
rnacentral:rRNA from 1 species